rnacentral:rRNA from 1 species
CGUGAACCAUCGAAGUCUUUGAACGCAAGUUGCGCCCGACGCCUUCGGGCUGAGGGCACGCCUGCCUGGGCGUCA